rnacentral:tRNA from 1 species
UGAGACGUCGUCUAACGGCAAGACAUAGGAUUUUGGUUCCUAGAAUGUAGGUUCGAUUCCUGCCGUCUCAA